GAUGAACGCUGGCGGCGUGCCUAAUACAUGCCAGUCGAGCGAACGGACGAGAAGCUUGCUUUUCUGAUGUUAGCGGCGGACGGGUGAGUAACACGUGGAUAACCUACCUAUAAGACUGGGAUAACUUCGGGAAACCGGAGCUAAUACCGGAUAAUAUUUUGAACCGCAUGGUUCAAAAGUGAAAGACGGUCUUGCUGUCACUUAUAGAUGGAUCCGCGCUGCAUUAGCUAGUUGGUAAGGUAACGGCUCACCAAGGCAACGAUGCAUAGCCGACCUGAGAGGGUGAUCGGCCACACUGGAACUGAGACACGGUCCAGACUCCUACGGGAGGCAGCAGUAGGGAAUCUUCCGCAAUGGGCGAAAGCCUGACGGAGCAACGCCGCGUGAGUGAUGAAGGUCUUCGGAUCGUAAAACUCUGUUAUUAGGGAAGAACAUAUGUGUAAGUAACUGUGCACAUCUUGACGGUACCUAAUCAGAAAGCCACGGCUAACUACGUG
rnacentral:rRNA from 1 species